GGAGGCCGGCGGGCGCAGGCGAAAUUCCGCAGGGAGCGAGGUGAGGAGCUAGCGGUUGGGGUCGGGUCUCCGGGCGCGUACUCCCCCCGCCGGUGAGGGUGAACUAACGGAGGUGGGCGGGCCGGCGCGCCGGGUUAGCAGGCGUUUAUCCUGUAUGGCCGCAGCAGUCAGCGCCCUUCACCAGCACGAGCCCCGCCUGCAGAGCCCUCGGCGGCAUCCAGCAGGAGGCCUCCCGCGGGAACUGUCACUCCGCCAAACAAGAGAGUUAAACAAGCAAAAGUCUAGAAACAAGCCAGCUGUCCAUCUACAGUGGAAAGCAUAAACAAAUUGUGAUGUGUUCACGUACUGGAGUUCUACCCUGGCGUGAAAAAUCCACGAGCCACAGCUGCAAGCAACAAUAUGGUAAAGUCUUUGUGAAAGACAUCAGUUGGCACCUCAGAGUUUGGAUUUCUCUGCAGGUGUGCUGGGGGCCUCAGCGUCCGUGUGCCUCAGCUGCCUGGGCUCAGUCUGUCCAGGAGGGAUUUGGAAAGGACCCACGCACCGCCCAACUGCCUUGCAAAGUGGCUGCACCACGUGCGUCCCCACCAGCGGUGAGCGUUCCGGCUGCCCCACAUCCUCGCCAGCAUUUGGUGUUGUCAGUGCUCUGGAUUUUGGCCAUUCUCAGAGUUUAAAUGUUACGGAAGCAACAUAAGAAAGAUGCUUCGUAGCAGCAGUCUUGCUGGGUGAAUACAAAUGAUAAGUAUUUUUAGAGGGGCCCGUUUCUCAACAGUACGACACCCUUCGUGCAGCUCUUUAUCCUUCAGGGAGCACUUGGAAACGCCUCGCUGGAGUCAUGGGUAGCCUGCCAGGGAGAUGCAGCCAGCACUCUCCGCACUGGCUCGCUCAAGCUCUGCCACCCCCGCACCAGCAAGGUGAGGGGCGACUGCAAUCCUGUGUCUAUUGCACACCGUUCCUGCUGCCUCCUGGGAUCUCGGGGACACGAAGUGAAUUGAUAUGUUUCUGAAAGCUUAGACUAGUGCCUGGCUCAUAGCAAACACGCCCUGAAUGUGAGCCAUGCUUAUUGUGAUUGAGGUGGGAAAAAUUAAAGUUCAUUACAUGCUAAAUAUCACUAGCACAAGAGUUUACUGCAAGACCACUGGAUGAUUUUUUAAAGGACCUCUUAAAAUUCUCCGGAAGAACUAAAAGUGUUGCAGUGUGGAUAACUGAAAUAAUCAAAAUGAGCCCACAAUUUCCCACGUGAACCUCGAGAUCCAAGCGACUCGGCCAGGGAUUCCCAGCUCUGAUGCUGUGAACAGUAAAAACCUCUCCACUUCCAUCAACCAAGAAACAGGCGUUUUCUGAAAGCCUUUAUGCCAGGCCCUGAGAAAACAGAAAAGUGUGACCCAGGUCCCCGGCCUUGGAGAAGACAAGCAAGGGCUGGGGAAUGCUGAGUGAGGGGGACAUCUGGGGAAAGGGAAGGAGAGACUCAAGGUCAAUUUCAAACAGAGGUCAUAUUUGGUUGGAGCUAAAUGGGUGAGGCAGUGUCGCCACGAGCACGGGGGAAAGCGGCCCCACUAGGCAGAGGGAAGGACGAACAGGAAGCUGGGGUGUAGCUCUGGUGGCUCCGGGGACAGAGGGAGAAGGAGCCACCUGAAAUGUACGGCGGUGCUGCCUGCCCACCACCCCUGCCCCUGCCUCCGGGGAGUAAUCCAUCCUCCACUCUGGAGCGCAUCUCCUGGGGUCCUCAUGCAGUCGUCAUCCUCACAGUGGUCCAUUCUCCUGGGCACACGAGGGCUUCGGUAAACAGAAGGAAUGGAAUAGGAUCCCCACCCUCCUUUUCCCAAAGUGUGUGUGUGUGUGUGUGUGUGUGUGUGUGUGUGUGUGUGUGUGUGUGUGUGUGUGUGUGUGUGUGUGUGUGUGUGUGUGUGUGUAAGAAAGAAUUUGGGGCCGAGGGAGGAGGAAACCAAGUUCGGGUUUAGAAAAAUUAGGAAGAAUACCCUCCCUUGGUUACUUCUGGAUCGCUGUUUGAUUAUUAGCAGCAGGUUUUGUUUCUUUUGACUACUCUGUUAAGUUGUAAUCUUCCAGAAGCAGACCCUGAGACGAGGAUUUUAAUGCGUGAGCUCUGGUUGAGGACCAAUGCCCGAAGUGCGCUGGGGACGUGGGGAGCUGGCCCAGGACGUGAGCGCCCGGAGGAGGCUGUGCGCAGCUGCACUCUCCGAGUCCGCAGGGCCGCGGAAGAAGCCGUGGUGGCCGGAGGGCUAUGCCCGGGGGCUACCCACCCUCCAGCCCUCAGCCCACCUCCACGCCCCUGGCAGGACCAGAGUGAAAGCCCCUUGCUCCAGGACGCCCCAGGUACCUGCUGCGUGGAGGACACGGGGAGGAACUGACAAAAGUGUCUUCUACAACCUUCUUUAUCAAACUUUUUGAUAUUAUCUGGAAAUGUGACUUUGAACUUCUCAUAGUCAAAAGGAAACUAUUUUCAUUUAGAAAAAAUAAAACAUGCCUGGUUGGGACUUCCCUGGCGGCCCGGUGGUGCAGACUUUGCCUUCCAAUGCAGGGGGUGCGGGUUCGAUCCCUGGUCGUAUAGCUAAGAUCCCACAUGCCUGGCGGCCAAAAAACCAAAACAUAAUACACAAGCAAUAUUGUAACAAGUUCAAUAAAAACUUUAAAAAUUGUCCACAUCAAAAAAAAAUCUUAAGAAAAAAUAUAUGCCUGGUUGUUGUUAUAUUCCCAGGGUUUCCUAAAGAAGACAGUGUCUGCAUUUACUCUGUGAUCUGAGCGAUAUGAAAGGGCUCG